rnacentral:rRNA from 1 species
ACGGGAGGCAGCAGUGGGGAAUAUUGGACAAUGGGGGAAACCCUGAUCCAGCAAUGCCGCGUGAGUGAUGAAGGCCCUAGGGUUGUAAAACUCUUUCAGAAGUGAAGAUGAUGACGGUAACUUCAGAAGAAGCUCCGGCUAACUCCGUGCCAGCAGCCGCGGUAAUACGGAGGGAGCUAGCGUUGUUCGGAAUUACUGGGCGUAAAGAGCGUGUAGGCUGUUAGGUAAGUCAGAGGUGAAAUCCCUAAGCUCAACUUAGGAACUGCCUUUGAUACUAUCUUACUAGAGAUCGAGAGAAGUUAGCGGAAUUCCAAGUGUAGAGGUGAAAUUCGUAGAUAUUUGGAAGAACACCAGUGGCGAAAGCGGCUAACUGGCUCGUAUCUGACGCUGAGACGCGAAAGCGUGGGUAGCAAACAGGAUUAGAUACCCUGGUAGUCCACGCCGUAAACGAUGUGUGCUAGCCGUUUGUGAUUUAUCGCAAGUGGUGCAGCUAACGCGUUAAGCACACCGCCUGGGGAGUACGAUCGCAAGAUUAAAACUCAAAGGAAUUGACGG